AUUGAACGCUGGCGGUAGGCUUAACACAUGCAAGUCGAGCGAUCGGCGGACGGGUGAGUAAUGUCUGGGAAACUGCCUGAUGGAGGGGGAUAAUUACUGGAAACGGUAGCUAAUACCGCAUACCAUCAAAUGUGCAAAGAUGGGAUUAGAUAGUAGGUGGGGUAAUGGCUCAACUAGGAGACGAUCCCUAGCUGGUCUGAGAGGAUGACCAGCCACACGGGAGCUGAGACACGGUCCAGACGCCUACGGGAGGCAGCAGUGGGUAAUAUUGCACAAUGGGCGCAAGCCUGAUGCAGCCAUGCCGCGUGUGUGAAGAAGGCCUUCGGGUUGUAAAGCACUUUCAGCGAGGAGGCGUUACUCGCAGAAGAAGCACCGGCUAACUCCGUGCCAGCAGCCGCGGUAAUAC
rnacentral:rRNA from 1 species